UCAGGGGUGAAAUCCCACAGCUCAACUGUGGAACUGCCUUUGAUACUGUCAGUCUAGAGUAUAGUUGAAGUUGGCGGAAUGUGUCAUGUAGCGGUGAAAUGCUUAGAUAUGACACAGAACACCGAUCGCGAAGGCAGCUAGCUAAGCUAUAACUGACGCUCAUGCACGAAAGCGUGGGGAUCAAACAGGAUUAGAUACCCUGGUAGUCCACGCUGUAAACGAUGAUUACUCGAUGUUGGCGAUACACAGUCAGCGUCUGAGCGAAAGCAAUAAGUAAUCCACCUGGGGAGUACGAUCGCAAGAUUGAAACUCAAAGGAAUUGACGGGGGCCCGCACAAGCGGAGGAGCAUGUGGUUUAAUUCGAUGAUACGCGAGGAACCUUACCUGGGCUCGAACGUAAGAUGACUGUAGGUGAAAGCUUACAUCUCUUCGGAGCAUUUUACGAGGUGCUGCAUGGUUGUCGUCAGCUCGUGCCGUGAGGUGUCGGGUUAAGUCCCAUAACGAGCGCAACCCCUACCUUUAGUUGCCAUCAGGUCAUGCUGGGGACUCUAAAGGAACUGCCUACGCAAGUAGUGAGGAAGGCGGGGAUGACGUCAAAUCAGCACGGCCCUUACGUCCAGGGCUACACACGUGCUACAAUGGCCGAUACAGAGGGCAGCUACCUGGUGACAGGAUGCAAAUCUCCAAAGUCGGUCUCAGUUCGGAUCGGAGUCUGCAACCCGACUCCGUGAAGUUGGAUUCGCUAGUAAUCGCGCAUCAGCCAUGGCGCGGUGAAUACGUUCCCGGGCCUUGUACACACCGCCCGUCAAGCCAUGGAAGCUGGGGGGACCUAAAGUCGAUAACCGCAAGGAGUCGCCUAGGGUAAAACCAGUGACUGGGGCUAAGUCGUAACAAGGUAGCCG
rnacentral:rRNA from 1 species